rnacentral:lncRNA from 1 species
GUGUGAGGGGACUGGUGACAGGUUUACCAGAGUUGUUGAGCGAAUGUAGAGCUGAGUCUACGUCGCGGAAGUACAGAUACGGUUUUCAGGCCUGGAAACGGUGGGCGCAAUCUUGUGAUUGUAAUCUGACGUGAUGCUCGUGUGAGUGGAUGUUCCCUUGUCGGGUCGACCUGUGUAUGGUAUGGUCGUGUUGGCGAGUGAGCCUAAUCAUGCAUUAAAGUUUCUUCGUUCAGAAGCGUAGGCUGACGAGUCUUUAUAAUACGUUUAUUGUGUACAUAUA